UACGAAGGGGGCUAGCGUUGCUCGGAAUUACUGGGCGUAAAGCGUGCGCAGGCGGUUCGUUAAGUUCGAUGUGAAAGCCCCGGGCUCAACCUGGGAAUUGCAUUGGAAACUGGCGGGCUUGAGUGUGGCAGAGGGGGGUGGAAUUCCACGUGUAGCAGUGAAAUGCGUAGAGAUGUGGAGGAACACCGAUGGCGAAGGCAGCCCCCUGGGCUAACACUGACGCUCAGGCACGAAAGCGUGGGGAGCAAACAGG
rnacentral:rRNA from 1 species